GGAGGCGUAGCUUAGUGGCUUAAAGCGCUGCCCUGUCAAGGCAGAGAUCGCGGGUUCGAAACCCGUCGCUUCCGCCA
rnacentral:tRNA from 1 species